rnacentral:misc_RNA from 1 species
AACGCACGAGACCUGCGGACCUGCGGAGGGAUCAUUACAUGAUUUGAGGGGGCUCACGUCCCCUCAUCCAACCCACAAACCCCGAGGAACUUUUAUGUCGAGUGGUUCGGCGCUCUCUUUGAGAGCCGCCCCUCAAACGCAUCGCAGGCUUUUCGUGAAGGUCCGAUGUGUCACAUCGUGAGUAUUAAAACUUUCAGCAAUGGAUCUCU